AGUGAACGCUGGCGGUAGGCCUAACACAUGCAAGUCGAACGGCAGCACAGUAAGAGCUUGCUCUUACGGGUGGCGAGUGGCGGACGGGUGAGGAAUACAUCGGAAUCUACUUUUUCGUGGGGGAUAACGUAGGGAAACUUACGCUAAUACCGCAUACGACCUACGGGUGAAAGCAGGGGAUCUUCGGACCUUGCGCGAUUGGAUGAGCCGAUGUCGGAUUAGCUAGUUGACGGGGUAAAGGCCCACCAAGGCGACGAUCCGUAGCUGGUCUGAGAGGAUGAUCAGCCACACUGGAACUGAGACACGGUCCAGACUCCUACGGGAGGCAGCAGUGGGGAAUAUUGGACAAUGGGCGCAAGCCUGAUCCAGCCAUACCGCGUGGGUGAAGAAGGCCUUCGGGUUGUAAAGCCCUUUUGUUGGGAAAGAAAAGCAGCAGGUUAAUACCCCGCUGUUCUGACGGUACCCAAAGAAUAAGCACCGGCUAACUUCGUG
rnacentral:rRNA from 1 species